rnacentral:tRNA from 1 species
CUCUCUGUAGCAUAAAGGAAAAUGCAGCAGUCUUCUAAGCCGCUGAUCCGGGUUCGAGUCCCGGCGGGGAGU